rnacentral:lncRNA from 1 species
CAGAAUCAAACAGCAACUAGUCCAAAUUCGCUCAGUCCAGCGAAAUCGUGACCCGAGUCCGGCGAGCCCAGCUUGCGCGUCGUCAGAGCCGUUUGAGAAUUUUCCAGAUGUCUCCAUCUCCUUUUGAUUUCGUCCUUGCACCAAAUCGGACGGCUCCCCUCAAAGUUCCGUUGAGGAUCAGUACUAUUACAGCUUUCAACCUUAUCCUCUAGAAAAAUUCGAAUUUCGAAUGGGAAUUGGUCAAAAAAAAAAUCCACCCGUUUCCCUCUUCUUUUUUGAUUCCAAUCUUUCCUCUUAUAAAUACCCUUCUCUUUUACUGUUUUAGGGGAUUUGAUUUUUGGACACUAAUUUGCUACUCUAAAAAACAAAGGGAAUUUCGUCAAAAGAGACAGGAUUCAUCCUCUAGAACAAAAAAAAUAAAAAAUAAAAAAAUUCUAGUUUCAUUUACUCGGGUUUGAAUCCUUUGGAGCUUUUUGGAAUUGGGUGAAGCUCCACUUGUGGUGGUGGAAUCGCUCCAAGGUCGUCGUCCUAGUUCCUGCCUCGGAAAAGGUAUAUAACUUCAACUAUUCUUUAAGUCUCUUUUGGUUAGUUGAUUGUUUGAUGGCGAUGGUUGUGUGGAGGUUGGGAGUUCUCUGUGUUUCGAUUGAAACUUCAGUUUUUGUUUGCUAGGGUUCGAAUAUAAUUUAAAUUUAGGAGCAUGAAUCUUAGAGUAUAUUUUCGAAUCGAUUUCAAGGUUGUAACUUGACAUUUUACUCGCUUUAAUGUAGCUUCCUUAGUUUCAUUUCGUUUGAUUUAGUGUUGUUCUCUUCUUCUCUCGUUUGUAUGAUUGAAUAAAUCCCAAAUUUUGUCAACAUGUCUCUCGUCAAGUUAUUUAAAGUUGAUCUUGUGUUUCAAUACUGUUUGCUUUGAGCUUUUAACUAGAUGAUGGUCAAGUUCGUCUUGGAAUGUUGAGUUUUGUUUUCUUGCCAACUUUAGCCUAUUUCUAGUUCUUGCUUCUUUUGAGUCUCUCUGCUUCUCUCGUUUGAUUAUUAUCUCUUUAAAAUCUCUAUAUCAAUUUCCAUUUUAGUUCUUAGGCUUGUUAGUAUUCAAUUGAUGAGUCGUGAAGUAGGUCGAGACCAUUUUCUCCGGUUGUUGUCUCUUCUUUAUAUGAUCGCUAAGUUUCUUUUAUUGUGUGUAGGUUAGUCUAUGUCUUCUAAUUGACCAUGAGUUUUGAUAGAACAUGUGGUAGUUUAGAAGUAUGGUAGCAAUUGAUUGUUAAAAUCCUUUGUUGGUUCGUAUUAUGUCCACAUUCUUCAUAGUUAGUUUAAUCGCAUAUUAAUGUAAGGAUAUAUAUGUGAAACUUGAGAAUCGAUCGAAGCUAAAAUCUGUUCAUAGUCUGUAUGUCAUAUAUACCUUGAAAUGUGUGGAUUAUACUUUAACUUUGGAUUCUUUGUUUGAGUGACAUAUGUAUAGCUUGUUCUCUUGAAGGUUAGUAGUAUUUGUGAGUAUGCAUUAAAGUAAUAUACUUGUCCCUGGUUCUCACUGUAAUGAGUAAAGUGCAAAUUCAAAGUCAUUUGGAUUAUUUGAUUAGUCCAUAAUAUUUCUAUUGAUAAGUGAUUGUCGAUUGAGUUUAGAAAUUUAAAUACUAUUCAUUUUUAAUUUAUUUUUUUUCUAGAAUAAAAUGUGUUAGAAUAAUCUUGUCCUAUGCUAAUAUGAUUUUAUUUUUUCUUUUGUAUGUGUCACUUGCAAUGAGUUCAUGUGAACUCUUCCUAUCACUGGCAUUUCGAGUCGGGAUAAAAACCAACUUGUGUUCUUCUUUACUGAGUCAACUAUGUCGUUCCAAGGGUAGAAGUUGAUAUACAGGAUGCAGAAGAAGAAAUUAAGUUGAUAUACAACUUAUAAAUACAUAUACAUUUGUGUAUGUAUUUGGCAGAGGUGAAAAAUGGGUCAAAAUCCACUUGAACAAAUCAGAAAAAUUGAAGGAGAGCAAAUGGGCCAAAAGGCCAAUUUAAUUGGGUUUGGGCCAAAGCCUAAGUUUAAUUAUUUAUUUUUCCUCUAUUAUUAUUUUUGUAUUGAUUGACUAACAUUGUUUAUUCUAUGGUUUAAUUAAAUUAAAUUCCCGAAGA